rnacentral:rRNA from 1 species
AACGAACGCUGGCGGCGUGCCUAACACAUGCAAGUCGAGCGGUACAGUUUGAAGCUUCGGUGGAGAGCUGUAUAGCGGCGGACGGGUGAGUAAAGCGUAGGAACGUGCCCCUCGGAGUUGGAUAGCCAUGGGAAACUGUGGGUAAACCGACAUAGACUCGGGAGAGUAAAGGCCGAAAGGCGCCAAGGGAGCGGCCUGCGGCCCAUCAGGUAGUUGGUAGUGUAAAGGACUACCAAGCCGACGACGGGUAGCCGGUCUGAGAGGAUGUACGGCCACACUGGGACUGAGAUACGGCCCAGACUCCUACGGGAGGCAGCAGUUGGGAAUCUUAGGCAAUGGACGAAAGUCUGACCUAGCGACGCCGCGUGAGGGAAGAAGGCCUUGGGUUGUAAACCUCUGUCAUGGGGGAAGAAGUAAGUGACGGUACCCAAGAGGAAGCCCUGCUAACUACGUGCCAGCAGCCGCGGUAAAGAGUAGUACG